CAGUAGCCGCGGUAAUACAGAGGGUGCGAGCGUUAAUCGGAUUUACUGGGCGUAAAGCGUGCGUAGGCGGCUUCUUAAGUCGGAUGUGAAAUCCCUGAGCUUAACUUAGGAAUUGCAUUCGAUACUGGGAAGCUAGAGUAUGGGAGAGGAUGGUAGAAUUCCAGGUGUAGCGGUGAAAUGCGUAGAGAUCUGGAGGAAUACCGAUGGCGAAGGCAGCCAUCUGGCCUAAUACUGACGCUGAGGUACGAAAGCAUGGGGAGCAAACAGGAUUGGAUACCCCAGUAGUCCCUGUCUCUUAUAC
rnacentral:rRNA from 1 species